rnacentral:rRNA from 1 species
GAUGAACGCUAGCGGGAGGCCUAACACAUGCAAGCCGAGCGGUAGAGUUUCUUCGGAAACUUGAGAGCGGCGCACGGGUGCGUAACACGUGUGCAACCUACCUUUAUCUGGGGGAUAGCCUUUCGAAAGGAAGAUUAAUACCCCAUAAUAUAAUGAUUGGCAUCAAUUAUUAUUGAAAACUCCGGUGGAUAGAGAUGGGCACGCGCAAGAUUAGAUAGUUGGUGAGGUAACGGCUCACCAAGUCAAUGAUCUUUAGGGGUCCUGAGGGGGAGAUCCCCCACACUGGUACUGAGACACGGACCAGACUCCUACGGGAGGCAGCAGUGAGGAAUAUUGGACAAUGGGUGAGAGCCUGAUCCAGCCAUCCCGCGUGAAGGAUGACGGUCCUAUGGAUUGUAAACUUCUUUUGUACAGGGAUAAACCUACCCUCGUGAGGGUAGCUGAAGGUACUGUACGAAUAAGCACCGGCUAACUCCGUG